rnacentral:tRNA from 1 species
GCCAGUGUGGUGUAGUGGUCAGAGUGUUAGACUACAACUCUGAAGAUCAGGAUUCAAUUCCCCGCUCAGCCA